CAAGUCAUCAACAAUGAAGAUCAAGAUGUUAGGCUUCUUUUGAGAGCUCGCAAGCGAUGAAAAGAUUACAAGAAGCGCAAAAACGUAACACGAUAAACACGGUCGACAAGCUUCCAUCUUCGUUAGACUGGAGCCGAAUGUAAAAAUGGGGGAUCAUUUGUCCCGACGUGGGUAUGUGUUUUACAAAUAGACGACUCAGCUCAGCCAGG